rnacentral:misc_RNA from 1 species
GAUGAAGAACGCAGCAAAAUGCGAUAAGUAAAGUGAAUUGCAGAAUUCAGUGAAUCAUCGAAUCUUUGAACGCACAUUGCGCCCGCUGGUAUUCCGGCGGGCAUGCCUGUUCGAGCGUCAUUUCAACCCUCAAGCCCCCGGGUUUGGUGUUGGGGAUCGGCUCUGCCCUUCUGGGCGGUGCCGCCCCCGAAAUACAUUGGCGGUCUCGCUGCAGCCUCCAUUGCGUAGUAGCUAACACCUCGCAACUGGAACGCGGCGCGGCCAUGCCGUAAAACCCCAACUUCUGAAUGUUGACCUCGGAUCAGGUAGGAAUACCCGCUGAACUUAAGCAUAUCAAUAAGCGGAGGA